AGAGUUUGAUCAUGGCUCAGGACGAACGCUGGCGGCGCGCCUAACACAUGCAAGUCGAACGAGAGAGAGGGAGCUUGCUUCCUUGAUCGAGUGGCGAACGGGUGAGUAACGCGUAUCCAACCUGCCCACCACUUGGGGAUAACCUUGCGAAAGUAAGACUAAUACCCAAUGAUAUCUCUAGAAGACAUCUGAAAGAGAUUAAAGAUUUAUCGGUGAUGGAUGGGGAUGCGUCUGAUUAGCUUGUUGGCGGGGUAACGGCCCACCAAGGCAACGAUCAGUAGGGGUUCUGAGAGGAAGGUCCCCCACAUUGGAACUGAGACACGGUCCAAACUCCUACGGGAGGCAGCA
rnacentral:rRNA from 1 species